rnacentral:rRNA from 1 species
CCUACGGGUGGCUGCAGUAGGGAAUCUUCCGCAAUGGGCGAAAGCCUGACGGAGCAACGCCGCGUGAGUGAAGAAGGAUUUCGGUUCGUAAAGCUCCGUUGUUAGGGAAGAAUGAUUGUGUAGUAACUAUACACAGUAGAGACGGUACCUAACCAGAAAGCCACGGCUAACUACGUGCCAGCAGCCGCGGUAAUACGUAGGUGGCAAGCGUUGUCCGGAAUUAUUGGGCGUAAAGCGCGCGCAGGUGGUUUAAUAAGUCUGAUGUGAAAGCCCACGGCUCAACCGUGGAGGGUCAUUGGAAACUGUUUAACUUGAGUGCAGGAGAGAAAAGUGGAAUUCCUAGUGUAGCGGUGAAAUGCGUAGAGAUUAAGAGGAACCCCAGUGGCGAAGGCGGCUUUUUGGCCUGUAACUGACACUGAGGCGCGAAGGCGUGGGGAGCGAACAGGAUUAGAUACCCGAGUAGUC